ensembl:lncRNA
GGAGGCGUAGGCUGUGUCCCAAUUCAGGGGACGCAUCCUUCGAAGGCUGCAUUCGAAGGAUGCGUCGACGCCGAUUGCGUCACAGCGACGCGCCAAGUGCUGUCCCAAUUCCAAGGGUCCUUCAAAUGCGGCCUACGAAUGCAGCCUUCUUUUCCCGGAUUUUAAGGAUGCAUCGGCUGUAUCCUUCGCGGCCCAACGUAUCCCAAGAUCCUUCACGGCCCAACGUAUCCCUCCCAAGAUUCAUUGCGCAGUCAAUCCAAAAAAUAAAACAAUAAUGGCGGAGAAUGUGGAUUUGACUUUUUCAUUUAAAUGGAGCAAGGAGCAUACUGCUCAAUUGAUCAAACUCAGGGGGGAGAACGACGAGCUCUUCACCGGGGUGAAACAUUCGGCGAGUGUGGCUUGGGGGACAAUUCUGGAGAAAAUAGGCCUGCAGGGGAAGGAUUGCAAGUAUCCAGGGUCAGGAGAGG